AAGAGGAGGAUUACCUUUGUCUCUCAAGGCCAAGGCAACCUUGGAGCCUCCUCUUCUCCGAGACUCCUAAGUUACCCAGCUAUCCCCCUCAGUAAGACCCUCAACCUGGAAAUCUCCCAACUGGCCGAGGAAAAACCCACAUCCACGGAUCCAUCCCACAAACCCAGUGGGCCCUGCUUCCCUUGCCAGGCCUCUGGUAAAGGGCAAGCAAGUGCAGCCCAAAAGGGGCAUCCUGUGGCUCACAUCUGCAUGGCCAUCCUGAUUUGGUUUGUCUUCAUUUUUCUUCCUCCUCUCUUCCCUGCCAUUCCAGAUGCCAAGGGUCUCUCCAACCCUAGUGAGGUGGAGGUCCUACGGGAGAAAGUGUAUGCAUCACUGGAGACCUACUGCAAACAGAAGUACCCUGAGCAGCAGGGACGGUUUGCCAAGCUGCUGCUACGUCUUCCUGCCCUCCGGUCCAUUGGCCUUAAGUGUCUAGAGCAUCUGUUUUUCUUCAAGCUCAUUGGUGACACCCCCAUCGACACCUUUCUCAUGGAGAUGCUUGAGGCUCCCCAUCAACUGGCCUGAGCUCAGACCCAGACGUGG
rnacentral:sRNA from 1 species